rnacentral:rRNA from 1 species
GAUAAACGCUAGCGGCAGGCUUAACACAUGCAAGUCGAGGGGCAGCAUAGAUUGUAGCAAUACAAUUGGUGGCGACCGGCGCACGGGUGCGUAACGCGUAUGCAACCUACCCGUCACAGGGGGAUAAUCCGGAGAAAUCUGGUCUAAUACCCCAUAACAUAUGGAUCGGCAUCGGUUCAUGUUGAAAUUUUCGGAGGUGUCGGAUGGGCAUGCGUAGCAUUAGCUUGUUGGUGAAGUAACGGCUCACCAAGGCGACGAUGCUUAGGGGGACUGAGAGGUUUUCCCCCCACACUGGUACUGAGAAACGGACCAGACUCCUACGGGAGGCAGCAGUGAGGAAUAUUGGUCAAUGGGCGCAAGCCUGAACCAGCCAUGCCGCGUGCAGGAUGACGGCUCUAUGAGUUGUAAACUGCUUUUGUACGAGGGUAAAGUGGGUUACGUGUAACCUUUUGAAAGUAUCGUACGAAUAAGGAUCGGCUAACUCCGUGCCAGCCGCCGCCGUAA